AUGGUGCUUUGGAUUGCUUUCAUCGCUCAAACUAGGUGUAUCAAGGUUCCUCUCCUCCUAAAUCUCUCACUGCAAUGACAACUCAAACCUCAUUUUCUCUUAAAACAUUCUGGAUAGCUGAUAGUGGUGCCAAUCAUCACAUGGUGCCCACUGUUGAUCAAUUGGAUUCUGUAACUCCAUGUACUUUCUGCAGAUCAAGUUAUUAUUGGCAAUGGGGCAGGUUUGCAGAUUGCUCACAUUGGCCACACCAAUCUCUCUAGUGGCACUUCUAAACUACAUCUGCACAAUGUUUUUCAUGUUCCACAACUUACUGCUAAACUUAUGUCUGUUAAUCAGCUAUGUCAGGAUAAUAAUUGUUCUGUCAUUUUUUAUCAGUUUGGUUUCUGUAUACAAGACAAAGCAACAAACCAAGUUCUUCUCAUGGGCAGGAGCAAUAAAGGCAUAUAUCCUAUACCUAGUGCAGUUUCUCCAGUCAAUUCUUCUUCUCUAGCUGAUGGUUCUUUUUCUCCAGCUACUGCUUAUGUGGGCCAACAAAUCAAAUCAUCUAUGUGGCAUAAUAGGUUAGGGCAUCCUACUAAUGAGGUAGUUCAGACUAUGCUUAAAACCUCUCAAUUACCAGUUCUUGUAGAUGCUCAUCAGCAUAUUUGCCCUUACUGUUUAAGUGGUAAAAUGCACACCUUACCCUUUCCAUCUACUCAUGUUAAGUCUUUAGUGCCAUUUCAAAGAAUCCAUAGUGAUCUUUG
rnacentral:lncRNA from 1 species